rnacentral:rRNA from 1 species
UCCUUUGGGAUAAGCCUGGGAAACUGGGUCUAAUACCGGAUAUGACAACUGAUGGCAUGGUUGGUUGUGGAAAGCUCCGGCGGUCCGGGAUGAGCCCGCGGCCUAUCAGCUUGUUGGUGGGGUAAUGGCCUACCAAGGCGACGACGGGUAGCCGGCCUGAGAGGGUGACCGGCCACACUGGGACUGAGACACGGCCCAGACUCCUACAGGAGGAAGCAGUGGGGAAUAUUGCACAAUGGAAGAAAGCCUAACGCAGCGACGCCGCGUGGGGGAUGACGGCCUUCGGGUUGUAAACCUAUUUCGCCAGGGACGAAGCGCGAGUGACGGUACCUGGAGAAGAAGCGCCGGCUAACUACGUGCCAGCAGCCGCGGUAAUACGUAGGGUGCGAGCGUAGUCCGGAAAAAUUGGGCGUAAAGAUCUAGUAGGCGGUUAGUCUCGUCGGCCGUGAAAACCAGGGACUAAACUCUGGGCCUGGGUCGAUACGGGCAGACUAGAGUUCGGUAGGGGAGACUGGAAUACCUGGUGUAGCGGUGAAAUGCGCAGAUAUCAGGARGAACGCCGGUGGCGAAGGCAGGGCUCUGGGCCGAUACUGACGCAGAAGAGCGAAAGCUGGGGAGCGAACAGGAUUAGAUACCCUGGUAGUCCACGCCGUAAACGUUGGGCGCUAGAAGUCGGGAGCAUUCCACGUGCUCCGUGCCGUAGCUAACGCAUUAAGCGCCCCGCCUGGGGAGUACGGCCGCAAGGCAAAACUCAAAGGAUUUGACGGGGGCCCGCACAAGCGGCGGAGCAUGUGGAUUAAUUCGAUGAAACGCAAUAACCUUACCUGGGCUUGACAUGCACCGGAAACCGGUAGAGAGAUCGGCCCCCUAGUAGUCGGUGACAGGUGGUGCAUGGCUGUCGUCAGCUCGUGUCGUGAGAUGUUGGGUUAAGUCCCGCAACGAGCGCACCCUAGUUCCAUGUUGCCAGCCAGUAAUGCUGGG